GUGAGGAAGAGGCCGUGGAAACCGUACGGCACCCGCCGGGGGAGGCACACCUCGGUGACCACCUCCAGGUCCGGAGACCUAGCGUCCAUCACGACGAAGCUCGAUUCUCCCGUGAUCUCAUCGUGCAGGUACGUCACCAGGUACCCGUCGUCCUCCUCCUCGCCCUCGUCCGGUGCUGGCACGAAGAUGGGCUCGCCACCGAACCUUCGGGGGCUGUACAUCUGGGAGGCGACCACACAGUCACCACCCUUCUUCUCCAUGUCCAGCUUCACCACUCCGGCCACCUUCGGCUGCAGGUCCCCAGCUCCGAGGUAGGCGUAGCGGUUGCGGCGGCCCUGGUAGCUCGGGUUGAUCACCCCCAAGUCGAGGUUCUUUACGGAAAGCGGAAACCGGGAUACUGUCCCGGUCUUGAGCUCAAUCCUUACCAUCUCCACACAGCAUUGGAGAAGUUCUAUCCUUUCCAGCUGUAAGCACAAAACUCUUAGAAAAACAAUUUGCCUGAUGAUUCAAGAAGCACUCUCCUAAAUCAGAAUCAAUAGAAGCAAGAAGAAGAAGAAGACACACAAAUUUAAGAACCCAUCACAUGUAUACACACACUCUGCCUUCUAUUAGGCAUUACAUCGAACACUUAUAGUUCACUCAGAAAAACAGGAAAUCUAAAAACAGAAAAUAACUGUCACAUGCUUUACACGAGCUCUAAGAUUUAAUCUGAGCCGUUAUAACUCGAACAUACGGACGGCUAGGAUUAAGUCUUGCACACAGUAUAAAAGAAACCAUUAGAUUAUCAUCUAAUGGUCCGGAUCACUCUAUCAAAUUCCCCCUUGAUUCGAGCCCUGUUUCACUUCAAGAACUCCAAUUUUCAGUCGCAUCUCUAAAAAUCUUGAUACUCCAAGAGAUUUUGUGAACAUAUCAGCAAGUUGAUCCACUGUAGUCACAUACUUAAGCUCUAUCUUUUUCUCAUCCACACAAUUUCGGAUGAAAUGGUAGUGCACAUCAAUGUGUUUUGUUCACCCAUGAUGAAUAGGAUUUUUGCUGAUUUCUAUAGUCGAUUUGUUAUCAAUGCACAACUCAAAAGGUUGGAACUUCUCACCGAGAAUUUUAGAAAUAAAUUGCAUGAUCCAAAUCCCUUGACAUACUGAUGUGGUGGCAGCAAUGUAUUCGGCUUCACAUGAAGACAGAGCUAUUACCUUUUGCUUGCAGCUGUUCCACACGAUGGGUUUAGUUCCAUAAAAGAAAAUUAACCUAGAGGUGCUCUUCUUGUCAUCAAUGUCUCCUGCAUAAUCACUAUCACUGAAUCCACGCAAGUAGCAAUUUUUUUCUGAUGUACAACUGAUCCCACAGUUAAUCGUCCCUUUCACAUAUCUCAAUACCCUCUUCAUAGCACUCAAGUGAUCAGAAUGAGGCUUGCUCAUAAACUUGCUCAGGUAACUCACAGAGAAGAUUAAAUCGGGUCGAGUUAGAGUUAAAUACCUCAAACACCCAAUAAUCCUCCUAUAAAGAGUUGGAUUCACUUCUUUACCAUCACCUUCUCUAUUUAAUUUCAGUCGACAUUCCAUGGGUGUUUUGGCUGAGUUGCAGUCACCCAUUUUAAAUUCAUCUAGAAUUUUCAUCGCAUAAAACUUUUGACUUAACUUGAUGUCAACCUCUGUCUGAAUUACUUCGAUGCCCAAAUAAAAAUUCAGUAGACCGAAAUCAGUCAUUUCAAACUGUGUCUUCAUAGAGAAUUUAAAAUUCUCAAUUUCCUCAGCACUUGAUCCCGUGACAAUAAGAUCAUCCACAUACACUCCCACCAGCAGUCUAUAUUGAUUAACGGCUGAGAUAUAUACGGCUUGGUCACUUUUACUUUUCACAAAGCCAAUUUUAUUCAAAGUGUUGUCUAACUUUGAAUUCCAAACUCUCAGUGCCUGUUUAAGACUAUACAGUGCCUUCCUCAAUUUAAACACAUAAUCCUCCUUUCCUUUUUUGAUAAAACCCUCUAGUUGAAUCACAUAGAUUUCUUCAUCUAUUUUCCCAUUAAGGAAUGCCGAUUUAACAUCUAAGUGAUGUAAUUUCCACUUGUACUGAGCAGCCACUACAAUUAUAAUCCGAAUUGAAUCUAAUCUUGCUACUAGUGAGAAAACCUCAUUAAAAUCAAUUCCAGGCUUUUGUCUAUAGCCCUUUGCCACAAGACGAGCUUUGAAUCUCAUUAUAUCACCUUUAGAGUCUCUCUUAACUCUAUAUAUCGACUUCACUCUGAUAGGCUUGCACUUCACAGGUGGUUUGACUAAAUCCCAAGUUGAAUUCUUUUCAAUUGCAUCCAUCUCUUCUCGCAUGGCUUUUUCCCAUACUUCAUCUUUGACUGCAUUAGCAAAUGAUGAAGGUUCUUCACUCGAGGUAAAACAAUUCUCAUCACUUUCCACCUCAUGUGUGUCUUCAUAGAUUGACUGAAUUGACCUAAGCUUCUCUGGUCUUUCUUCUUCCUCAGUGAAAUGAUCAUUGUCAACAUCUUCACGUGGAGGUAUUUCUGUCACAGAACUCGAGUCCUCUUCAACAGUGGGGUCUUCAAAGGAGUUAACAAGAUCACUGGCCGAAGUGAAGGUAAAGUCAUUGCAUUGACCCACCUGUUGUCUGAAGUCCCAACUUUGAGAUUCCUCGAAUAUUACAUCUCGACUUAUAGUUACCUUGAAAGUCACUAGAUCAAGGCACCUAUAUGCCUUAGUACCCAACUCGUAGCCAAUGAAUAUCAUCACAUUGCUCCUAUCUUCAAGCUUGCUGAGCCUCUUAGUGGUCUUCACAUGCACAACAGAUCCAAAAACCCGUAAGUGCUUCACAUUGGGCUUUCUUCUACUCCAUUUCUCAUAUAGAGUCACAUCUUCUAAACUCUUAGUGGCUGAUCGAUUUAACACAUACACACAUGUGUUAAUUGCCUCUAUCCACAACUCGAGAGGCAGUUUCUUCUCCUUCAACAUACUUCUCACAAGGGACAUUGUAGUCCUAUUUUUCCUCUCCAUCACUCCAUUCUGUUGAGGUGAGUAGGGGGCAGUGAGCUGUCUCCUUAUACCAUUUUCUUCACAAAAUGUCUUGAAGUCCUUUGAGUUGAAUUCCCCUCCUCGGUUUGAUCGAAAACACUUAAUCUUCUCACCGCUUUCAAACUCGGCUAGGCUUUUAAAUCUCUUGAAGGCCUGAAACGCUUUUGAUUUCUCUUUCAAAAAAGCCACCCACAUUGGUCUCGAAAAGUCAUCAACGAUCAAUAGAUAAUACCUUCUUCCUCCUAUCGUUGAUGGCUGAAUCGGGCCACAUAAAUCUCCAUGGAUUAAUUCCAACUUCUUUGAGGCUCUGAACUCAGAUAAUUUUAGAAAAACACUUCGAGUUUGUUUUCUGGCCACACAACUCCUGCACAUAUGAUCAGAAAAUCGAAGAGCAGGUAAUCCCACAACUACUUUACCUCUUCUCAUAUCAUCUAUUGUUAUGAAAUUUUGAUGACAGAAUCUAUGAUGCCACAGCCACACAAUCUUCUCCUCUUCUUGAGUAAGCUGGCAAAAUUCAGAUACACUUAAUUGUGUAAGAUACAUGCUUCCUCCGGAUUUUUUAGCCCUGGCAAAUUGCCUUCCCAACUUGUCAAAAACAAACAGAAAACCGCUGCUUAAAAUAGAUUUGAAGCCUGCAUCAUCUAAUUUUCCCAAACUUAUGAUAUUUGCUUUAAGACUCGGCACAUAUAAUACCCCGUCGAGCUUCAACUCUUCUCCAUUUUGAUAAUUGACAAUGAUGGAGCCUUUUCCCUCAAAUGCAAUGGUAGAUCCAUCGCCAAAUCUCACUAGUCCACACUGAUUUUCAUCAAAUGAAUUAAAAUAAGACUUCUUACUCAUCAUAUGAGAGCUAGCCCCGGUGUCGAGAUACCACAUUCCAUCUUGUAGGGACAUGUCUUGAGCCCCUUGCAAUAAAUCUUCUGAGAAAGCCAUGAAGAGAUUUGACUCUUCCUUAGUAACAUUUGCAGCUUCUUCUCGUGCCCUUGGCUUUUGCUCAUUUUUACAUUCAUCUACAAAAUGUCCAAAUCCUUGGCAUUAUAACACCUCACCUUGGAUUUGUCAAAUGGCUUCCUCUCUCCCUCUUGCUUUGGCACAUUACUUGACUGAGAUCUUCCUCUACCUUUGCCUCUUCCUCUUCCUUUGUCUCUACCUUGUCCUCGUCCUCUGCCACGAAAGGAUUGACCUUCUUCAGACUUAGUCUUCUUGAAGUGAUUCAUAGCCCAAGCCAAUAAUGCUUGCUCCUCUUCUCUUGCAUCUCUCUCGGAUAAUCUCAUCUCAUGAACCUUCAGUGACCCUAUAGCCUCCACCAAUGACAUGGCAUCUAGGUCACCAAAUUGCUCAAGAGAUAAAGUCAAGGAAUCAUACCUCGGAGGCAUUGACUGAAGUAAUUUCUUGACUGCUUCUUUAUCUUCAAGUCUUUCCCCAAGUUGUCUUAACUCAAAGACAAUUCUUGAAAAUUUAUCAGUGAAAUCGCUCACCUUCUCAUCCUUUUUUAUGGCAAGAUUUUCAAACUCACGUCUCAAGCCCUGAGCUCUCGAUUGGGCUAAACGAUCUAUUCCCAUGUGGAAUGAUCGAACAAUAUCCCAAUUAUCUUUCACCGACUUCUUGAUGUCUAAUUGGACACCUGAUGUUUCCGAAAUUGCAGUUAGUAUGGCAGAGAGGGCUAACUGGUCCUUCUGCCGAUUAGUCUCCGUUCCGGCAACCACGU
rnacentral:lncRNA from 1 species